rnacentral:rRNA from 1 species
GAUGAACGCUGGCGGCGUGCUUAACACAUGCAAGUCGAACGAUGAAGCCCAGCCUGCUGGGCGGAUUAGUGGCGAACGGGUGAGUAACACGUGAGUAACCUGCCCUUGACUCUGGGAUAAGCCCGGGAAACUGGGUCUAAUACCGGAUAGGAGCGCCUGUCGCAUGACGGGUGCUGGAAAGAUUUUUCGGUCAUGGAUGGACUCGCGGCCUAUCAGCUUGUUGGUGAGGUAACGGCUCACCAAGGCGACGACGGGUAGCCGGCCUGAGAGGGUGACCGGCCACACUGGGACUGAGACACGGCCCAGACUCCUACGGGAGGCAGCAGUGGGGAAUAUUGCACAAUGGGCGGAAGCCUGAUGCAGCGACGCCGCGUGAGGGAUGACGGCCUUCGGGUUGUAAACCUCUUUCAGUAGGGAAGAAGCGAAGGGACGUACCUGCAGAAG